UACGGGGGGGGCAAGCGUUGUUCGGAAUUACUGGGCGUAAAGGGCUCGUAGGCGGCCAACUAAGUCGGACGUGAAAUCCCCAGGCUCAACCUGGGAACUGCGUCCGAUACUGGAUGGCUUGAAUCCGGGAGAGGGAUGCAGAAUUCCAGGUGUAGCGGUGAAAUGCGUAGAUAUCUGGAGGAACACCGGUGGCGAAGGCGGCCCUCUGGACGGUGACUGACGCUGAGACGCGAAAGCGUGGGGAGCAAACAGG
rnacentral:rRNA from 1 species